rnacentral:tRNA from 1 species
GCUCCGGUAGUAUAGUCCGGUUAAGUAUACGGGCCUCUCGAGCCCGUGACCCGGGUUCAAAUCCCGGCCGGAGCA